GGUGGCUUAGUGGAAGAGUGCUUGCCUUGCAUGCAGGAAGCCCUGGGUUCGAUUCCUCAGUACCA
rnacentral:tRNA from 1 species